CCUACGGGUGGCAGCAGUGAGGAAUAUUGGUCAAUGGACGAGAGUCUGAACCAGCCAAGUAGCGUGAAGGAUGACUGCCCUAUGGGUUGUAAACUUCUUUUAUAUGGGAAUAAAAUGUUCCACGUGUGGGAUUUUGUAUGUACCAUAUGCAUAAGGAUCGGCUAACUACGUGCCAGCAGCCGAGGUCAUACGUAGGAUCCGAGCAUUAUCCGGAGUGACUGGGUGUAAAGAGUUGCGUAGGUGGCAUAAUAAGUAGCUAGUGAAAACUGGUGGGUCAACCAUUCAGACUAUUAGCUAAACUGGUUAGCUCGAGACCGUUAGGGGUAACUGGAAUUUCUAGUGUAGGAGUGAAAUCCGUAGAUAUUAGAAGGAACACCAAUAGCGUAGGCAGGUUACUGGGACGGUUCUGACACUAAGGCACGAAAGCGUAGGGAGCAAACGGGAUUAGAUACCCUAGUAGUC
rnacentral:rRNA from 1 species